UAUCCUCAUGUUUCCAUCAUCAUUGAUAUUCUUGGACUAUAAUAUAUAAUGCAGAUCCACCUGCAAAAAUUUGGUAGAAUGUAUAGGCAACAGUGAGCUCUCAUGUGCGUGCGCACAUGAAGCAAUUCUACCACUCAUCUGCGCACAAGGGUGUUCCGAACAAAAUCAAUGCACCUAAUAUCUAAGAACCUUCCAUUUUUAUAACCAAAGACUUUGCAUUCCCUAAGGUUGUACUAUGGUUUAGUCACAUUUAAAUUGCUCGUUUGCACAAGAAAUUGGGAAAAAUCUUCUUCAGUGAGGCAUCAAAUUACUUUGCCUAAGAUCCCAUAUCUAAUUGAUCAC
rnacentral:lncRNA from 1 species